CUGGUGAGAGAGCUGGCAGUGUUAAACACACAGAUUUGCGAGAUUGAGCAGCACAUUUCCAUCUCUCGUGCUGGCAUGAUGGUAUUGGAUGAACUGUCCUCUCAGCUUGAAGAGGUAGCCAUUCAUCUGCAGUACGUGGAUGAGGAGGUUCGGCAGCAGCCCUGUCUGGCUUUA